UUGAGUUAUGACUUUAAAACUGGAAUUGACGACCUUUAUGGGUUCAGAAAUCGAAACUGAGUACAUAGAUAUGUUAAUGGGAAUUUUGGAGCUAUUUAGGGAAAUUAAUUAGAAAUUUAUUUCGUUAGAUUCGUUAAGGUUUGUUCGGGUGGUUAACUUUGCACUGCAAAUUGAAGGCCUUAGAGGCUUCAGAAACCAGAACAGAGUACAUAGUUAUGAUCAGUAUAAUUUUUAGAGUCAUCUGAGGAGUUUAAUUGAAAUUUGAUUUCGUAUGAUUCGUAAGGGUGCGUUUGGCUCUCCCAAAUUGUGAUAGGCUUAUAUAUAGUUAAAUGUAUAGAUAUAUAUGAGAUAUAUGAGUUGAACUCAACAUUUGAGCCAAAAAUAUCUAAGGAAGAGGGAGAGAACCGUGAAAGAGAGAGAGAGAGAAGGAGAGACAAAGAUUCUCUAAGAGAAGCUCACCAUUCAUGGGGGUUUGAAGAUAAUUGAAGAGAAUUGAAGAGAGGGGAAGAAGAUCAACCAUGAAGCUUGGGAAAAUUGAAGAGAUUAAGGGAAAAAGCAAGGAAUUGAGUUAAGGUAUGUGACUUUAACUAUUAUCUUUGUAGAUAAUUCAUCUACUACAUGAAAUCAAGGAUUGACUUGGAAAAUUAACAUGUAAAUGAACAAGUGUGUUGGGUUAUAAAUGAAAUGGGUUAAACUCAAAGAAUUGAACCUUGAUUUCCUUAAAUUUGCUUGAAUUGGGUUCAAUCUUAAGAAUGAUUCAUGGAAUAACAAGAUUUGGUGUGAGAACCAACCAUGUGUAAGAUAUAUUUACAUGAUUUUGGGCAUAUAUUGUGGGAGUUUGAUUAUAUAGAAAAGAUGAGAGUUGAAUUUCUAACUUGAGGCAAAGAUUGGUUUGUUUGAGAUGAAAUUACACUUGAAUGAUGUUAGUUUAUCAUGUUGUAGAGUAAUUUUACAUGUUUUUGGGUGAUUAAAGUUGAAACCUAUCUUAGAAAAUGGAAAAACAAGUGUUAAAGCCAACCAAGAUUUUCAAACAGCAAAUUUUGCCCAGAGCCGCACAUGCGGUGGGGCUUCCCGCAUGUGCAGCAGCCCAUUUCCGGCACCAAAUCUGAUUCUGCUAAAAAAGCAUGUUGUCCCGCACAUGCGGCCCAAUUCCCGCACGUGCGGCCCUAUUUCCCGCAGGUGUGGGACAGCUCUGUUUUAGCCAACUUCAAAUAAGCAUAUCUCUUGCAUCCAGACCCCAUUUUAAGUGAUUCUUGAGCCUAAAUUCAAGCCCCGGAAGUCUAGUUUCCAAUGGUGGCAGUCUUACUCCCAAAUUCUAAGUACACAAAUAGAUAUGCCCAAAUUAGCGACGAUUGAUCACUUUCUGUCUACCGAUUUUAUACCAUUUCUUUUUCUAAACCAUUUUCCUUUCGAUUCCUCCUAUUUUCCAAGACAUGGAUUAUGACCUAUUGAGGACUAAUGAGUUUAGAACCACCAAGGCUAAUUGAUUAAAGAACAAGAAAGAGAUUGGUUAUAUUCUCAUAUUAUGCUAUGUGCAUUGUGUUUGUAGGUCAACGAGGACAUCGUCCCAUUGCUACCAGAAGCCCAGCACUGUGAGCCAUUAGGGAUCAACACUAGAAUUGUAUCGAGGUCCAUCUCUCUUUCAAACCAACCGGGUUACGCCUCCGCAUUGAGGCCUAAAUUUUUGUAUUGGGAAUUAUGUAAUUUAUUGAGUCUUAUGUAAGUGUGUGUGUGAGAUUGGUAUAAUUCAAUGAUUAUUGUAAGCAUGGAAACGUAUUUAAUUGAUUAAGUUAAUCUAAA